rnacentral:rRNA from 1 species
AAACCAACAGGGAUUGCCUUAGUAACGGCGAGUGAAGCGGCAAAAGCUCAAAUUUGAAAUCUAGCACUUUCAGUGUUCGAGUUGUAAUUUGAAGAAGGUAUCUUUGGAGUUGGCCCCUGUCUAUGUUCCUUGGAACAGGACGUCACAGAGGGUGAGAAUCCCGUGCGAUGGGGAGACCAAUUCUAUGUAAAGUUCCUUCGAAGAGUCGAGUUGUUUGGGAAUGCAGCUCUAAGUGGGUGGUAAAUUCCAUCUAAAGCUAAAUAUUGGCGAGAGACCGAUAGCGAACAAGUACAGUGAUGGAAAGAUGAAAAGAACUUUGAAAAGAGAGUGAAAAAGUACGUGAAAUUGUUGAAAGGGAAGGACUUUUGAUCAGACUUGGUGUUUAGUACUCUCUACUCCUUGUGGGUGGGGCUCUUGCUUUAUACUGGGCCAGCAUCGGUUUGGAUGGCAGGAUAAUGGCAUUGGAAUGUGGCUUCAUUCGUGGAGUGUUAUAGCCUUUGUUGAUACUGCCUAUCUAGACCGAGGACUGCGUCUUUGACUAGGAUGCUGGCGUAAUGAUUAAAAGUCGC